rnacentral:rRNA from 1 species
CACGUAGGGAGCAAGCGUUGUCCGGAUUUAUUGGGCGUAAAGAGCUCGUAGGCGGCUCAGUAAGUCAGGUGUGAAACCUCCAGGCUCAACCUGGAGACGCCACCUGAUACUGCUGUGGCUUGAGUCCGGUAGGGGAGCGUGGAAUUCCUGGUGUAGCGGUGAAAUGCGCAGAUAUCAGGAGGAACACCAGCGGCGAAGGCGGCGCUCUGGGCCGGAACUGACGCUGAGGAGCGAAAGCGUGGGUAGCAAACAGG